UCUCUAAGAACCAUUUUCUCCCUAUAAGCACUCUAGCAAGGUCUAACUAUUGGCUGGGCUUUGACAAGACUUGGCUAGAGUGCGAAGAGUGCUACGCAAGCCUACAUAGGUGCACAAUCAUUUGUGAUGGAUGAACAAACAAGAGGGGCAGGUCCUUCAUUCAUUUUUUGGUGACUUGUCUUCGAGGUACGAUGGUUGUGAUGGCGGUAGAUGCUACAUU
rnacentral:lncRNA from 1 species